rnacentral:lncRNA from 1 species
AUGCCGCUAGGGCUUAGGCUGCGAUGUCGCUAUCCACAAGGCAUUUCAUUGCCAAAUAUAUUUGAAUGUGUCCAUCACAGAGUGGCCGUUUCAAAUGCAAACCUCAUCCAGCCUCGUGUCCUCUGCAGGGUGUCGGGCCCCCUCCUGUCUCCUGGGAUGAAGGGGACCGGGACACCCCCCCCCCAUCCGCUGGAGAAGCAGCACGUCCACUCUCACCAUAAGCCCUACUCCCAGUAUCACCACCACCCGUGUGCCAGUGACGAAUACCAGGGCAGCUUCCAGAGCUGCUUCCAUUUCGGCGACUCCUACAGGAUGGAGCAGACGGCAGCUGGCGCCCACCUGGGGGGCGACUCCCACGUCUACGCGUCCCAGCAGCACAACGGCUUCCACAUGGCGCCGGGCGGCGCCGGCUCCGCAGGCUUCGGCUUGACCCAGGAGCUGCAGGGAAACGCCGGGUGCCAGUUCUCCUCCGGCCCCGAGGAGAGCGUCUACUUCCAGGUGGGCAGCUUCGACCGCAGCCUGAGCCACGUGUCCUCCGUCUACACCGAGACGUAGAGCAGCGCUGGAGCAGGACCUUCACCCACAGUCUCCAAUAGAUCUGAAACUACAUAGGCUUCAUGACAGUAAUUCUGUAUUAUAAACCCCUGAAAUUCCCUAAACCCGUUCAGAUGUUUGCUGCAUCUGCUUAAACAUGGCCUGAGAGCGUCAGUGACACCACAUUGUGACAUUCAAAUUAAUGAGACACUUAUUUAUUGGGAAAGAAUCUGAUAUUGUUGUUUAUGGCACACGCAUGUGGAUCAAUAAGCUGUGAUCACACCUUUGUGCCUCGCAUUUCGCAUGUUGGUGGGAGGGACUGAGUCCGGUCCAGAUGAACUACCUACAGGUCACUCCCUGGCUUUCCGUAAGGAUCACAGACUUUGACUCAGCCGUUCCCAAAUGAGUUCUACUUGCAACAUUUUCUGGUUCCAGAUGUGUUUAAUGCUGUUGCCUUUCUGCUGAUUUUCAGUUCACAGCUGGAUACCUUUUUCAUCAAUUGCUUUUACAGCCACAGGAAAACAGGCCCAAACCCUGAUGAUGUCAUCAGCGUGGUGCGCACAUGGAAUCAGGCGCUCACGCGGGAACAAAGUGCUUAGUCAUUGUUAAAUGUGGCGCCUCACACGGAAGCCGCACAGUUCCACCUCGGACGCAGACGUCCGCUGACCGCCGGUCCGACAGCCGCCUCUGGCUCAUCCGCACAGCGAACCGUGAGUGAGCAGCCAUGCUGUCUCUGCUGAGGGUCAGGCGCAGUGGCAUCAGAAACACAACCUUCUACUGUACAAACGUAGUGUCGACAUCAGCCUUUUCUGGUGUGGAGCCACAUUUUCUGCUUUAUUAAAGAUGACACGUGUCUCCCAGGCUCCCACCUGAGUUCAUGAUCUGCCUUUUCAAAUUCAUUUAAACUUCAAAUUAAUUGAUUAAUGCAGUCUGGCAGCACGGAGAUCUGUGGACAACUUCCCACUAUAAAUAAAUAGUCAUUUUAUGUUUAACCCA